GAUGAAGAACGUAGCGAAAUGCGAUAAGUAGUGUGAAUUGCAGAAUUCAGUGAAUCAUCGAAUCUUUGAACGCACAUUGCGCCCUUUGGUAUUCCAAAGGGCAUGCCUGUUCGAGCGUCAUUUGUACCCUCAAGCUUUGCUUGGUGUUGAGCGUCUUGUCUCUAGCUUUGCUGGAGACUCGCCUUAAAGCAAUUGGCAGCCGGCCUACUGGUUUCGGAGCGCAGCACAAGUCGCACUCUCUAUCAGCAAAGGUCUAGCAUCCAUUAAGCCUUUUUUUUCAACUUUUGACCUCGGAUCAGGUAGGGAUACCCGCUGAACUUAAGCAUAUCAAUAAGCGGAGGA
rnacentral:misc_RNA from 1 species